GGUGGCUCAGUGGUAGAACGCUUGCCUUGCAUGCAUGAAGCCCUGGGUUCGAUUCCUCAGCACCA
rfam:Dipodomys ordii contig_50973, whole genome shotgun sequence.